rnacentral:rRNA from 1 species
UACGAAGGGUGCAAACGUUUGCUCGGAAUUAUUGGGCGUAAAGCGCACGUAGGCGGCUUUGCAAGUCGGAUGUGAAAUCCCUCGGCUUAACCAAGGAAGUGCAUCCGAAACUGCAGAGCUUGAGUACUUAAGAGGAUCGCGGAAUUCCCGGUGUAGAGGUGAAAUUCGUAGAUAUCGGGAGGAACACCAGGUGGCGAAGG